GCUUGGAAAACUUUGUAUAUGACACCUCAACAGAUUCCAUCAAUUAUGCUAAAUGACCAGUAAAAAUGUUCAAUCAAAAACUCAUUUUAAGGUACACUGUUAAUGAACUGUAUAUAAUGAUGCUUAAUCAAAACCCGACACCCUUCCAUGGGAGAAAGGUUCCAUAGGACCUCAGGAGCACUAUUGUUCAGAACAAAAGAUAACAUUAAAACAGUGUAAUUAAUAGCCCACACUUAUGUGACAUUCUCUAAAGAAUCUCAGUUUCACAACACCCUCCAUUGUUUUAGAGACGGGAGAAACUGUGGUUCAUAAUAUCACUAAUACCAUCAGCAAUGACACAUCAUUUUGCAGGCUGUUUUUAUUUUACUGUAUUUCAGUGAAAAUAAAGGUUAAGAUACAAAAUUGGCCAAUGGACACACUGACCACAGGAACGAAGAGAGUAGUGCUUGUUUUGGAUACAUAUAAUUUGAACGUUACCUAUUACAAUUAGAAAAAAUUCCAAGAUAUAGUCUUCACAAAAUGUCAUUUGUAAUCUUAGAGGGUGGGUGAGGUUUAAUUAAAGUGGUUUGAAGGUGAAGCUUAAAAGGGACAGAGAGGAAAGAAGGAGGAAUGAAAGAGGAGGAGGGAAAGAGGGACACGGACUCUGUCCCAUCCGAUUAUCUUACGUCUAACUUAGUUCUUGGUGCAUAGGUAGCGCUUAAUAAGCAUACCAUUAUUAUUAAUAUUACUAUCAUGAGGAAAGAAAAAGAGGAAGGAGGAGGAGAGAGGGGAAGAUGAAGAUGACAAAAGGAGAAGUAAAGGAGAGGAGGAAAAGUGGGAGUGAAAAGAGAGAAAGGAUAAAGCUUAUUUCUCCACCACCAGCUGCCUUCUGCCAUCUUCUAAUAUUGCUUUCACAAUCAAAUCACCAUAAGUGACAGUGGCCAUGGUAGCCCAGCCCUCAGUGGACCAGUUCAACCAGGGCUGUUGCAGCCCAGGUGGCAGUGAUGAGGGGAGGGAAGGAGUCAGAGGACCAAAGCUCUGGUUCAACUAUGUGGCCGAUCCUCAGGCUCUGGGAUUUGGAAGCUCCCUUAGCCUUUCCAAGAAUUGGACUGUGUGUGCAAGGUUGGGGACUGCCACAGCUCCAUUCUCUUUUUUCUACCCUUAUUAUCAUACCUCUUACAUCACCUCCUCCAUUUUGUUGUUAAUCAGGCCAUAGCAUCUGAGGAGGGCUUUAGUUUCUCAAGACAUAAGCAUAUCCUGAAAACCUAAAAUGAGUAACAAAAUAAACUCCUAAAUUUCAUCACUGUCUCCCUCAAAUUAAGAAGACUGGUCUCUUUUAAUUUAAUUUGUCAUUUGUGUCCUUUGACAACUUAGGAACCAGAGUUCUAUCUGAAAAUGCAUAUGGAAAUGAAGGCGGAGAAGAUUACAGUGUUGCUAGUUCUGACAUAGCCUUCUGACUUAAACUUCUGAGUUAAAACCCAGAACCUGGGACAGAAAGGCCCCUUUCUGCUUCCCACAAUAUGUGCUUCUACCAAAGCAGAAAAUCUAAACUGAAAAUUCUCAGACCUCUCAUCUAAGACUACGCAGUCUUGUCAUAGUGACAUCCACAGUCACUAAACUAAAGCCUUUUAGUGUUAAAUAUAUAUUCUCUUGUGCAGGCUAUGAUACAUCUCUGGGAUUAGCUUCUUUCUGCCCCACUGUAAUCAGACAGUUAAUCUAUCUACAUUGUGUCCUUCAAUCUCACUUGGUCCCCAUGUGCUCAGAUAUUUGAAAAAGGACACAUUAUUAGUAUUCUAAAAAAUUCUCAUUGGAUUUUUUUUGGUCCAAAAUUGCUUCUUAACCCAAAUUAGCCACUCUAGGCUGGAAUUUAUGGGAAGUAUUUGGAAAUCCACCAGUGCCUAAAACCAAGACUGAAAAAUGGUUUCACAAAUGACUAAGGGAAACAGAUUCACCAUUCAAUUAUAGUUAAGACUUUACACACACACACACACAAACACACACACAUCUUUUCUUUGUAAAUGAAAAUGACUGAACAGUAAAGUCUUAUGCA
rnacentral:lncRNA from 1 species